GACGAACCGUGCGAACGUUAUUCGGAAUCACUGGGCUUAAAGGGCGCGUAGGCGGCCACCGCAAGUCAGUUGUGAAAUCUCCGAGCUUAACUCGGAAAGGUCAACUGAUACUGCGGGGCUAGAGUGCGGAAGGGGCAACUGGAAUUCUCGGUGUAGCGGUGAAAUGCGUAGAUAUCGAGAGGAACACCUGCGGCGAAGGCGGGUUGCUGGGCCGACACUGACGCUGAGGCGCGAAAGCUAGGGGAGCAAACGGG
rnacentral:rRNA from 1 species